rnacentral:lncRNA from 1 species
UGAAGUGGAUAGAUACUUCUCAAGACAUCACACAGCGUGAGUCAAUCAAGGAGGGAAGCCACAAGCAGACUGACAAUGUUUCUAGCAGGAUCAGGUGAGCUGUGUCCAGAAAACCAACGAGAAGGAGUGGAAGGAGGAAUGAACGUUUCGUUCUCGUUAAUAAAGGCAUUAUCCUAAUUAUCCUUUGGUUUUGUUUUUGCUUUUUUAGUAUUCAUUUAUUUUCUAGAAUUUUC